rnacentral:rRNA from 5 species
AAAACUUUCAACAACGGAUCUCUUGGUUCCCGCAUCGAUGAAGAACGCAGCGAAAUGCGAAAAUUAAUGUGAAUUGCAGAAUUCCGUGAAUCAUCGAGUCUUUGAACGCACAUUGCGCCCUUUGGUAUUCCGAAGGGCAUGCCUGUUCGAGCGUCAUUG